AAUAAGCACAGUCAUAAGUUUCCGCGCCCAACUUUGAUCGUCCGUCUUAUUUGAAAUUUUUUUAUAAUUAGUAUUUUUUGUUGUUAUGAGAUAAUAAAAUAUGAAUAGUACUUUACUCGUGACUUAUGUUUUUAAUUUUUUUUAAAAAAAUUAUAAAUAAGACGAACGGUUAAAGUUGGACGCGGAAAACUAUAGCUCUAUUUAUU
rnacentral:pre_miRNA from 1 species